rnacentral:tRNA from 1 species
GCCCCUGUGGCGCAAUGGACUAGCGUGUUGGACGUCUAAUUCAAAGGUUGUGGGUUCCAGUCCCACCAGGGGUG